CUUGAACGCUGGCGGCAGGCCUAACACAUGCAAGUCGAACGAGUGGCGGACGGGUGAGUAAUGUCUGGGAAACUGCCUGAUGGAGGGGGAUAACUACUGGAAACGGUAGCUAAUACCGCAUACCAUCGGAUGUGCACAGAUGGGAUUAGCUAGUUGGUGGGGUAACGGCUCACCUAGGCGACGAUCCCUAGCUGGUCUGAGAGGAUGACCAGCAAAACUGGAACGGAGACACGGUCCAGACUCCUACGGGAGGCAGCAGUGGGGAAUAGUGAACAAUGGGCGCAAGCCUGAUGCAGCCAUGCCGCGUGUAUGAAGAAGGCCUUCGGGUUGUAAAGUACUUUCAGCGGGGAGGCGUUACCCGCAGAAGAAGCACCGGCUAACUCCGUGCCAGCAGCCGCGGUAAUUC
rnacentral:rRNA from 1 species